CACUUCUCGCUGGAUACUUUGUGCAAAGUCGCUUGACAAGCAUGUUUGUCUCGUGUCGUGAUCAUGCGUGUAAUAAUCUUUAUAAUCCGGUUGUCUAAUGAAACAUAUGGGUAUACUUAAAAAAAAAGUAGAUAUUGGGUUCUAACACAAUGUCCUCCCCGGUAACGGCCCCAUCCAUACAGACGGCACCGGGCCGGCUCAAAUGGCAAGUUCUUCAGGAGGCGGUGGUGCCUACGUACCUGGGUCGGCCCACCUGAAAUUCAGGCAUCUAUCACAAUUCAGCUACCACUACCAGGAUAUGGGCCUCCAAUUGUUGAGCAAUCUGGCCAGCCCACGUUUACGGGCCUCAAACAGGCCACCGGCUGAUUCCGUCCAAGCAGUCAAGCCCGUGUGUAUGGGCCUCAAGCUGCCUGCCUUAGCUAUUAGCAGUACGGUCUUAAAGUAAUCCGGCCCAGCGAAAGGAAAAAAGAAGAAAAAAUCAGGGCUUUGGCGGGAGAUGGAUGGGUCGAUGGCGGGAAGUCAAAGACGGUCG
rnacentral:lncRNA from 1 species